NUGCUUGCUUUGGCAGCAUAUAUACUAAAAUUGGAGUGAUAUAGAGAAGAUUAGCAUGGCCUCUGUGCAAGGAUGGCAUGCAAAUUCGUGAAGUGUUCCAUAUUAAA
rnacentral:snRNA from 1 species